rnacentral:rRNA from 1 species
CACGGAUCGAGGAGUCUAACUCGUACGCGAGUCCUCCGAGCUGCACCACGAAGCUCUCGAGGCUCAACGAAAGUAAACGAAGUAAGUGGCAAAUCCGGAGUGAGCGGUCGGUCGAUGCGCGACGUCGCUCGCAUUUAUUCCGGCGCACGCCAGGGGCCCGUCGACUAUUCGGGCUCGAACGACGCGUUCGCCUCGCGGGGCGGGCGCCUCUCGUCGAGUCGAAGGGCGGGCUCCCCGAGCGUGCGGGUUAGUACCCGAAAGAUGGUGAUCUAUGCUUGUUUAGGACGAAGCCGGGGGAAACACCGGUGGAGGUUCGUAGCGAUUCUGACGUGCAAAUCGAUCGUCGGAGC